UCGAACCGACGAAACACUGGGCCUCCUGCAGCGGAGCGCGCGAACUUAACCACUCGGCCACGGGGCCAGCCCCUACAGUGCUUUUUAUAUGCUAGGCACUCUUCUAAGAUCCCUGCAGGCUUUAACUCUCGUUUCCUUCCUGAAGUAACACAUGAGCAAUUGGUAAAGAAAAAAUUUCAGCACACAAAAGGUUAAGCUCCAGCGGUUUGGAAGUUUUAUUCUUUCGUCUCACUUGGCAAAUGCACAUUCAUAUGACAAGAUUCAGCCUGAGCAUCACCGUCUUUAUGAACCUUUCCUUGGCCCCAGGUCUUUUCUUCCAAAGUUAAGCUCUCCUUCCUCUGGGCUCCCCUAUACCCUUAGGAUGCUGCCAUUAAAGUAUUUACCACUUUGUACUGAAUCUUUUUUUUUCUCAACUUGAAUCCUUCCUGAAGAUGGAGACUAGCGUUUGCUAAUUGAAUGAAUGAAGAAAAAAGGUUUUCCUCAUUUUACUGACAUUUGACAAAUAAGGUGUUAGCAUAGACAGCACACUUCCUGCUCUCUCCGAGCUUCCAGUGCAGCUGCAGGGACCACCACAGAAGGGCCACCUUCCCCCACACGCAGAACCUUGGAGUACGGUGUGUUGCCACAGGUCAAUCAGCCACAGCCGCUCCUCAUAGCAAGAGCCGAGCUUAGGGCCUCAUUGCCUCUGCCUCAUCCCGUGUCCAGGGAGGAAGUGAGGGGUGCUCCCACGAUGCCUGUAGGGGGACAUCCACGCGCUCCCCCAAAGCUGGAGCCCAGACAACAUAGACACCAGGUGCUGACACUGGAAAUCCGGGAAUUCCUUUAAUAUUCAAGAUCUCGGUUUCUUCUCUUUGAUGUAACGGGAUCUAGGAAUGCUCAGAACACCCCCUGAAACCCCUGUUUCCUAAAGACCUGUUUAUAUUAGUCCUUGCUCUGUGUUUAUUUGGGAGUAAAAUCCACGUUUGGAAUCCUCGCAGCAUAUGGUGAGUGUUUGCUGUACGGGGUGGGGUACCUGUUUCUGCAUCAUGUGACGAAAGUGCAGCAGCUGUAAUAUCUCAUUACAGGGCUUCACUUUAUUUAAUUAAAAAAAUAGCACUGCUCUACUUAACAAUAUUAUCCUCGUCCCCCACCCACCCGCAAAACCUGAUCUGCAGUUUCGAUGCCUCUGCCGUAAUCGCUUCGGACGGUCUGCACGUGACGUGGGUGAGCUCGAGGAUCGGCUUUCCAUCUCGUUGCUUCAGACGGUGCUUUCACUGUGAGCCAUUAGUCACCAGAUGCUGACAAGUGUUUGUACGGAUGCCAUCUCCCCCUUUGUUUAUAUGCAAGUGCAGCAACCGAAAUGAUUUAUUUAUGCCUUAAUUAAAAUUUGUGGAUAGACCAGUGAGUUUUAGCAGUGACUUUUCUAAUUUGUGGGUUCCAGAAAGAAAAAAAUCAAUAACCUGAUACCAUUUAUGUUUUUAUAGUUACCCAGGCAUUUAUAAUGCAGACCUGCCACUCACCUGCAGCCUCCCUUGGAGGAGAGUGGUCCUCGCCACAUAAAUCUCCCCCAGAGGCCGAGAGGGUCCAUAUUUCAGAGUCACUUCCCUUCUGUGUCAGCUGCGAGUGAGAUGUUACAUGCUUUCCAUUCUCAUGGUUCUCAUGGCAAGGCACAGGCUAAAAUUCACAUUGAAAGUAAAUUGAUGGACUGUAAGUUUUAUAAUACCUGACCCAAUCUGUAAUGACUGCUUAGAAUUUUAAUAAUUUAAGCCCAAUGAAUGUGAUUCCUGCAUAUCGCUCUCCACAUUGAGAAUGUACCCCAUAGGGUCUUUGGAAAGAACUUACCCCAAAUGCCGAGCUUUUAUGGGAACUUAAUAUAUUCGACAUUGCAGGUGCAUAAAUCUCCAUGAAAUUGCACCAAGUUAACGUAUUUACUGGUGCAUGCAAUUUAGUAACUACUUUGUAAAAGUCUAAAUAAAGAUAGAUAAGACAGGUAGAUAUGGAGAAAUAAUGAGUAAAUGUUCCAAUGUAUAUUAACAAGAUGAGUUAAUUGCCUUCGCAAGGCUAUCAGCCUCACUGGAAAAGAAUUAAUUAAUUUUCAAGGUGUUUGGGAUGGUUUUAAUUGCUGUUUCUCAAAGUCUGGGGGAAAUGAGCUGUUUUUGCAUUUUCUGCCAAACUCAAGUUAUUCUCUCCCCAAUAGUCAGAGCUGGGGGGUGCGAGGGGAGUGAUGACAAGCUGGGUGGAAAGAGAGAUGCUCAGUUUUGCUCGCCUCUCCCCCCGCCCCCCGGAGAUAAAGGCACAAGUAGCGAGGAAAAGCUCAUUUUAUUCAGAAAAUCCUCUUAAGAAGGACCCCGCUUGAGUUCCUGCAGCCUCCUCUUCUUCAGAAUACGAAUCUUCCGAAUCUUCCGCAGUCCAUGCUCACACUCAUGCGCACGUGUUUGACUUUUCCCCUUCUCUCCUGCCUCCCCCUUCCCUUAGUUUUUGCAGUUCAGCUCUGGCAACAUUCGAGUCAAGUGUCAGGCAGCACGUUGGAAACAUCUGGCCAUUCUACAAGAAGACUCCCUCCCCCGCCCCCAGCUUACCUUUGGAGGACAGAGUUUGUGUCCUUUCCUGGGGGCAGAUUUUUAAGUUCGUGGAGAUAACAUUUCAUUUCUUGGGAACUAUCUAACUCAAAUAUAAAUGUGAUUUUAAGCAGCAGCACCCUGUCUUCAGAUAAAAUCUUGUACAGAAGCUCAUUUCAUAAAUUGAGUGAGUAUGAAACUGCUGCUCUGCUGGAAAUGGUGGAUUUAAAAUAAAUGAUGAAAGAGA